rfam:Raoultella planticola strain GCSL-DIFS-295 CFSAN029441_contig0131, whole genome shotgun sequence.
UAAACCAGUUAACACUCUAGCCUCUGUGCCUGUGUCGCAAGAUAUGGUGCUUUGGCCGUGACAGCCUCGCUUGUCACCAGGGCGUGGGAAGAAAUGACCGCGUCUCCCGUACUUGGAAAGGUGUAUAUGGCUUCACAGC